ensembl:lncRNA
GAUAUUGAAGCAUGCACUCCCGGACUGCCUGGAGGCCUGCUUCGGUUUCAAUGUUCGUGUAUAAGCUAUCAAUAUCUAUGGUGAAUAAAAACAGGCUCCACUGGGAACACUGAUGUCUUUAACUUUCUGGAUGAAAUCAUACGUGUCCUUCAAAUAGCUCGGGUGUUUCUGAGAGAUGGGGUUGAGAAAAAUACUCGAUGUACUCAGCUGUCUGAUAAGUUUCACUGUUACAAUCAGACACUAUGGGUCUGCCGGGUGGAAUCUCGUGUGGAAUACUCCAUUUCUCGGGCUCCUUGUGAAUCUUCGGUAAUAAAUAAAAUCUUCUCAUUCUAGGAGUGCCACUGCCACUUAAAUAUUCCCUCUGUUUUGAGUUGAUAAUACCCCUAUCAUACAUCUGUUCUAAGAUUUUUCUAAUCUGUUUCAUGGUUUCCAAAUAAAUGGGUUUUUCUAAGGGUUUAUAGUGGUCACUGAUGUUUAAUUGUCUCUCCCCCUCCCAGACAUACUGCUCUCUGUCCAUGAUGACGAUGGCAUUUCCCUUGUCAGCAGGUUUAAUAACAAUUUCCCUGAGGUUUUUAAGAGUGUUCAAGGCUCUCAGUUCCUCUCUCUGGAGGUUGGGCCUUGGUUUCAAGUUCCAAUUCAAAUUCUUAAAGGCGUACUCAUCAGCUGUGAUCAGCUGGCCUACUUGUUUGGGAAGUCUGCUCAAGGCCGGAGUCCAAUCCGAGUUGUGCGUAAAAGAGAUAUUCUCUUCCAUUUUUUCGGGAAGAUUCACUGCUCUCUACCUCCUGAGGAGCUUCUGGUUGAAGAGUUGUCAACGAAUAUACUGAGAGGUCAAAGUCUGAAAGAUUUGGUGACACAGAGGGGCUUUGGAGGAUCUGGGCCCUCUCAGUUGUAUCCAAUAGUGGAUUUACUGUGUGCACUGUACUGGGUACCAUGGGAGAACAAAGAAAGCAGGCCAGUGGCCUUCGGGGGUCAGCUUCCCGAGAGGGGCAAGAGGAGAGAAAGUUCCUGUGACAGAUGAUUUGUAAUCUCAUCUAAAUCUUCCAGUCUAUUCCCCUGUGCAGGAGUCAACUGAUCCUCAUCAUCAUCAUCAUCGUCCUCAAAAUCCACUAGGAGAUUUCUUUUAUCAGAAUGCUCUGUAACGACUGAUGGUUUUUGGCUCUGCUCUGUCAGGUGUUUUUCUUCUCUUUCCUUUUCCCACGAGGGGACUGUACGGGGGCCUGUAUGCUCAAGGUGGAAAAAUCAUCUCCCAAAAGCCAGUCAUUUCUCAUGGGAGACCAGCCUGACAUUAAAGUGGGUGAUGUUUGUACCUGGAUAUGUGUGACCCCUGUUUUAGGGUCUGACCACCUCUGUACUGAUCAUUUCUGUCCCCUGCUGGACUGGGGCUGGAGUUACACCACUGACCACCUGAGCAAAUGUUCUGUUGUUAUCUGCCCCAGAAGCUGAUGGUCCUUUUUGACCCAGAGGGAGUCCCAGAGCGCAGAUUCGGUCCAGGACCAAAGUUUCAGCCUGCUGAAUGUGCCCUCUGGGAGAUCCUCUUGCGAGAUUUACGCAUAGCCCAUUUAACAGCAAUCUCAAGGCAUGUAACCAGUCCGUUCUCUGUGUUUCUCCUCGUAAAAUCCCUAAUGUGUGCUGUAUAAUGUCCUCAUAGUGUUGCUGUAACACCAACUGUGUCGUGAAUGCCCAAUUCCUUGCAUUGCCCUCCAGCAUUUCUUUUGUGGACAUUGUGGGGGGCAAAGGGUUUUUAUCACGCUCUUCAGUAAUUCAGUUAAUCUCUUCAAAGUGACAGGUUGAUUAUUCUCGACACGUGUGUCGAUGUUACUGGUGAUGGACCGAUCGGAUCCAGAUGAUACAUAUUUUUGAUCACAUUCGAAAUGUGGGAGAAGCAGGAGAGUAUUUUUGAUUUUUCUGUGUGUUAGAAUGAGUUUUCUGCCCCAUUCUUUUUCUGAUGAGAAUAAUUUUGUGGCAAACUGUACAUUUCUUUGUGCAGAAAAUUCACGUCUCCCGUUUUCUCUCCCGUUAUGAGGAAAAAUAUCGUGUGUUACUGUUUCUCUGCUCCAUAAAUCCAUUCUCUUCUGUGGGGUAAAUAAUCCUAUUAACCCCAAAAGUUACUCUCUUUCGUGUCUGUUUAAAUCUCCCCUGAUUUAAAGGGCGUUGAUCACGUGACGGACGAGAGAGGGAUUUGCAUUAAUCUCGAUCGAGUUUCAUUGUGUACUCUGUUACUGUAACCUAUGGAUGAUUCUUACGUGUCCGUUGACCGUACGGGAAGUCACGAGAUCGACUCAACAAAAUAAUCGUCCCUCCUAAAUGCGUCCCCGUCGGGAAAUCCCUUUUAUUUUAUGGGGGCUCAAGCGCAUCCGAGGGUCGUGAAAGCGACUCUUGUCUUGAAAAGACGAAUACCAUCCUUAAUUUUUAUGAGACGAUCAAAUCCACAAUUGUAUAUUGUUUUUGUCUUUCUUUCGAUUUUUAUAUUUUUGGCUUUUUGUAUUUUUUUAACUUUUUGGGGUUUUUAUUGUGUUUUUUUAUAAAGAGAACAAUCUGAAAUGAACCAAUAUUGAAUCUGUGAUUAUAUAUGACCAUCAAAUGAAAUGAAAUGAAAUGAAAUGAAAAUGAAAUGAAAUGAAAUGAAAAUAAAAUAAAAUAAAAAUUCAUAUUUUAUAUAUAUAUAUUCUUUGUGUUCAAGCCAAUAUCGCUGACGUUUCGAUACUAUGAUGUAUCUUCUUCAGGCAGGCUUGAACUAUUUAUUUUUAACUGUGUACUUUGAGAAUCACAAUAUUCGUGCUACUUAAUCACUAUCCGAGAUGUUACUGCAAGCAGUCAAACAAUCCUUCUGAUUCCAGCUCCGUUUCGUCCGGUAUAUCAGAGUAAGCUGAUGACGUCAUCGACACGUCAUCCUCCAAUCCUUUCAAACCAAUACAGGAUUCAAACCAAAGAACACGUGAUGCCUUAUCAAUCCAAACCGUGCAUGUUGCCGUUAUUUUUCAAUUUGAGCGAUGCACGUUGCUUUUUCAAAUUUGAAUAAUGCAGCUCCU